CUCAGGCAAAAAAUUUUCCUUCUAUCAAAAAUCAGCUCAGAAAUUGCUCCCUUUCUAACCUCAAGCAGUUCAAAGAAAUCGCUUGUCUUCUAACAAAGAGCAGCCUAAAAGAUCAGUAAAACACAGAUAAGCAACUCGGGUACAGAACCACCCCCUGCGAGGGCGCCGCCCACCAGCAGCCUCAAGCAGUCAGGCAGGGGAUCCGCGCUGGAGCCUCGCUGUGGGAGCCCCAAGGACGCCAGCUGUAAGGUCACUUCUCCGCAGCAGCCCCGUGUAAAGUCCUCCCCGCCCCCCGCACCAGGCUGUAGGAGGAAACCAUCAGCUGUCUCUGAUUUCCCAUUUCCUCAAGCCGGGAGACAAACAUUGUCCCCUGAGGCGAUGGGUGGAGUCCUCACACGUCUUCCAAAGGCGGUUCCGCCCCGCGGGUAUCCGCCGGGCGCCGGGUGCCUCCGGGUGGGACAUCGGUGGCAGCCGGGCGCCACCUGUGGGGCAUCACUCAGGCAGGACCCGGCCUGAGCUCGAGCGUUGCAGGCGCCACGGGAGGAGCGCGCGGAACCCGGAAGAACUAGGCGGAGCGAAACUGAAACCACCCGCAACGAACUUUGACGAAAGCCUUUUGCAGCUGAAAUCCGCAAAUGCCUUUAAUAUCCUCCCUGAGGCGCGCAAGAGACAAAAAUGACUUUAGAGCGACCCCGACCCUAUUUUACCACCCACAGACACACAAAAACGAACACAGCAAAAGUAGAAAACCCAAUCCCUGUGCUCUUUAUGAAACAGGCAUUUAAGAACAGAAAGAAGCAGUGCUCAAGUGGGAGGAAAUAUUUGCAAAACAAUGAAGUGAAAUGAUCUCCUGGGAAAGGUGGGAAGCAGGGGAAAGGCGGAGUGAAACGACAGGGAGUUUCUCAGCGCUUCGGCUCCACCCGGGAGACCAAAGCCCCGGACGGCUCAGCGGGAGGCUCAGAUGUUUCCCCGCGCGGUGUCCUCUGUUUUCCGUCGCCAAGUCCGGGUCCCAAAGGCGCUGGCUGAGAGCCCCACGUUCCUUCGUUGCAUCCUGGCUCUGCUUCUGCUGCGGGACUGUCCCUGGACCGCACAGGCCGGUGACAGCCUCCACCUGGGAUCGGUUGUUUCAGAUCAUUACUCCUGGGAGCCACUUAGGGAACAGCAUUUCCUACCCUGGCUUUCAGCGACAGGCAUCCCUGCGUUUCUUGACAGUCUGCUGCCUUCUCUCAGGGCCUGCUUUAUAUGCUGGAUAAACAGGAGUCCUCCAGGCUUCCCAGGAGCACAGAGGAUGGACAUUGUUCUGGAUUUUCACACUCAGACCCCUCUAGCAUGGGCACUUCUCUGAGCCUGUGAUCCCUUCCUGUACACCGUGCCUUAGAAGUUCUAGAUUUUCUACUUCUCGCCCUGUGAACCAUCCCUUUUCCAAGGUUUCAGGAAUGCAUCUCAUAGCAGAUGGGCAUCAUCACCAGGGGCUUUGCUAACGUUUAAAUCCUGGGACUAUGACAAUAAUCUCUUUUUGAUUCCAAUUGGAUUCUGUCCUUAUCCCACUCACUGAGCUGGAGCAUCCUAGGGCAGCUCCCACACCCUCUCCCACCUCCCGCAGUCCACAGGGGCUGCUGCCAAAGAUCCUCCUCAUCCAGGCCUUUUCCUGCCACCUCCAGCAGGCCUGGCACCUCCAUGACAAGGUCAUGUGCUGACCCAUGUGGGCAGAACCCAGGUGGGAUAUGUCUUGGGAGGAUGCAUGGUUUCAUGGCUACAGGGACCUUCCUUGCCUUGUACUCAAGAAAGGGAGACAUUCUAGUCUUUAACUAGUUGACAUGACAGUCCUGGCUGGGGCACAUCUUGCUCUGCCAGCCCAGCCCCUCAGAGAUAUUUACUUGCAGUCACCAUAAGGAAGAGGAGGGGUCUCAGGUUCCACUUCCCCCCACACCAGCCCUCUCCUGUGUUUAUCUUCCGCACACACACACUAUCUUUGCUAUGACUUCAUCAUCACUCCUAAGUUCAGACCUGAACCACAGUGGUGUGAAGUUCAAGACCAGGUGGAUGAAAGGCCUUUUCUUCACUAUGACUGUUUUAACCACAAGGCCAAAGCCUUUGCUUCUCUGGGGAGGAAGGUCAAUGUCACAAAAGCCUGGGAAGAACAAACUGAAACCCUAAGAGACGUGGUAGAUUUCCUCAAAGAGCAAUUGGCUGACAUUCAAGUGGAGAAUUGAAUACCCAGUGGUAAGUUUAAAAUGGCCCAGGACAGGAGGGAGCAGACACUAUAGUAGCUUAGAAGGCUUUAAUGGGUUCAUGCAAAAAAUAAACCAGGUUGGCGUCCUUGCAUGUGUGUGCCUAAUCUCAGCUGGUCCACCCGAGACCACCUGAACACAAACCCUAGUCCCCUGCACGGCCCCUUAUCCGCUCCG
ensembl:lncRNA